rnacentral:rRNA from 1 species
CUAUACAUGACUCUGCGCAUAUCAAUAAGCGGAGGAAAAGAAACUAACAAGGAUUCCCCUAGUAACGGCGAGUGAAGCGGGAAGAGCUCAAAUUUGAAAUCUUAAAGGGUUUCCCUUUACGAAUUGUAGUUUAAAGAAGUGUUUUCUGUUGAGGUUUUGGUAAAAGUUCUUUGGAAUAGGGACAUCAUAGAGGGUGAGAAUCCCGUAUUUGACCUUUACUUUCAACUUUGUGAUACACUUUCAAAGAGUCGGAUUGUUUGGGAAUGCAGUCCAAAAUGGGUGGUAAAUUUCAUCUAAAGCUAAAUAUUGGCGAGAGACCGAUAGCGAACAAGUACCGUGAGGGAAAGAUGAAAAGAACUUUGAAAAGAGAGUUAAACAGUACGUGAAAUUGUCAAAAGGGAAGCGUUUGACACCAGUGUUGUUUUUCUGAAAAUCAAUUAAAGAACUGUUUAUGCUAAGCUGUUUAGACUUUAUCAGCUAUCUGUUUAGUUUUGAGCUUUUCUUUAAUGCACUUUUCAGUUAACAAGUCAACAUCAAUUUCUUUUGCUGUAAAAAGGCUUGAGGAAGGUGGCUUGAGAUUCGUCUUAAGUGUUUAUAGCCUCUUGCCUAUGCAGUCGGAGAGAUUGAGGUCUGCAGCGUAGAUCCUUCGGGGCUAAAUGCAUUUGUGCUAAGUUAUAGCAUUUUAUAGACAACUUGUUGACUAUGAUUUGUCUUGUAGCUUACUCGCUUAUGUUAUUUUACCUACGCUUAGGAUGUUGAUCUACAGAGCGAGAGU